AACAAAACCCAGAUCAAGAAAUUGAUUAUAAAGAAAAUUGCAGAUAUGGGUCUGUUUUUGCUUCUGUUCUUGUUGUCGUUGCUUCUGUUCUUGUUGUCGGCUUAGGGUUGUUGCGUGUUGAUUGAAGGCUGUGAGGGCUAAAAAUUUCCUUGUGUUGAGUGAGGUGAAAUGAAGAAACAGAGAGAUGAAAAAUGGUGCAGAUGAAAACUAAAAUUCACAAGUUCAUAACCUAAUUAUUACUUUAUUAAACAUACACCUACACAAGUUGGAGCAUGGGUUUCUUUCAUCAAUUCGAAGCUUAAGAUUAGAGCAUGAAAGUAUCAAAAUUUACAACUUAAUCACUGUUCAUCGAUGCUAAUUAAAUGUGAACAAAAAUUGAAGACAUAAAAUUCUUGGACCGAAUUAAUUGCAAAAUCGCUAUUCAAAAUACAAAGAAUGGAUGAAAAAAGAAGAAGUAAAUUUAAUAAGACACGGGAAGCAAAAUUAAUGAUGGAAUAGAAUGAUUUAUGCAUUAGUUUUGCAACAAAAUUUGUUCAUGGAUUACACAAGUUUUAAAGCAUGGGAAAUUUAAGUAAAAUGGGGAUUGCAAUUAAGUGAUAGAAAUUAUUAUGAUAAUAAAUGUUUAAAAAUUGUGAUUACCUGGUUAAAUUUGUUGCAAAAAGUUGCUUCGAUUGAAGAAGGAGGAGGAGGAGAGAUGAGGGAUAAGAAGAAAAUUUAUUCUUUUUCUAAGAAUUAACCCUUUGAUCAAG
rnacentral:lncRNA from 1 species